rnacentral:rRNA from 1 species
CUCUGUAAGCGUAUACCAAAGUUGUUGCAGUUAAAACGCUCGUAGUCGGAUUUUGGUGCGCGCCGGGCUGUGCGCGUAGUGCGUGCGGCGCGGGGCGUGCUUUUGUGGAGGGCGGCCGCUCGUGGCUUUGCUGUUGCGGGUGUGUCGGCGCCACCGUUUACUGUGAAAAAAUUAGAGUGUUCAAAGCAGGCGUUUGCCGUGAAUACAUUAGCAUGGAAUAAUAGAAUAGGACUCGUACCUAUUUUGUUGGUUUGUGAGGGCCGAGUAAUGAUUAAGAGGGACGGUUGGGGGCAUUUGUAUUCCGGCGUCAGAGGUGAAAUUCUUGGAUUGCCGGAAGACAAACCGCUGCGAAAGCGUCUGCCAAGGACGUUUUCAUUGAUCAAGAACGAAAGUAAGGGGAUCGAAGACGAUCAGAUACCGUCGUAGUCUUUACUAUAAACGAUGAGAACUGGGGAUCGGGCGGGCAUUAUGAUGACCCGUCCGGGACCCUCCGGGAAACCAAAGUGUUUGCUUUCUGGGGGGAGUAUGGUCGCAAGGCUGAAACUUAAAGGAAUUGACGGAAGGGCAUCACCGGGUGUGGAGCCUGCGGCUUAAUUUGACUCAACACGGGAAAACUUACCAGGUCCGGACAUAGUGAGGAUUGACAGAUUGAGAGCUCUUUCUUGAUUCUAUGGUUGGUG